rnacentral:rRNA from 1 species
UAGGACGAACGCUGGCGGCAUGCUUAACACAUGCAAGUCGAACGGGCGUAUUGGUUAUAGCGAUAUAAUCGGAUACGUUUAGUGGCGAACGGGUGAGUAACGCGUGAGCAACCUGCCUUGUACACCGGGAUAACAGACCGAAAGGACUGCUAAUACCGGAUGAGACCACAGAGGGGCAUCCCUCAGGGGUCAAAGUGAUUUAGCGGUACAAGAUGGGCUCGCGUCCUAUUAGGUAGUUGGUGAGAUAACAGCCCACCAAGCCGAUGAUAGGUAGCCGACUUGAGAGAGUGAUCGGCCACAAUGGAACUGAGACACGGUCCAUACUCCUACGGGAGGCAGCAGUGGGGAAUAUUGGGCAAUGGGCGAAAGCCUUACCCAGCCAAUGCCGCGUGAAUGAUGAAGGUCUUCGGGUUGUAAAUUUCUUUUAUUGGUGACGAACAAAAUGACGGUAGCCGAUGAAUAAGCCCCGGCUAACUACGUGCCAGCAGCAGC